GGGCGUCGGCGAAGCCGGUACGGCCGCGGCGUCCGCCUGCGUACUCAACGCCGUCAACGACGCGGUCGCGCCGUUCGAUGCGACGAUCAGUUCGAUUCCGAUCACGCCCGCCA
rnacentral:tRNA from 1 species